rnacentral:tRNA from 1 species
ACAUUGGUGGUUCAGUGGUAGAAUUCUUGUCCUAAAUGCAUGGGACAUGGGUUUGAUUUCUGGCCAAUGUA